ACGCUGGCGGCGUGCUUUACAUGCAAGUCGAGCGGACAGAUGGGAGCUUGCUCCCUGAUGUUAGCGGCGGACGGGUGAGUAACACGUGGGUAACCUGCCUGUAAGACUGGGAUAACUCCGGGAAACCGGGGCUAAUACCGGAUGGUUGUUUGAACCGCAUGGUUCAAACAUAAAAGGUGGCUUCGGCUACCACUUACAGAUGGACCCGCGGCGCAUUAGCUAGUUGGGGAGGUAAGGGCUCACCAAGGCAACGAUGCGUAGCCGACCUGAAAGGGUGAUCGGCCACACUGGGACUGAGACACGGCCCAGACUCCUACGGGAGGCAGCAGUAGGGAAUCUUCCGCAAUGGACGAAAGUCUGACGGAGCAACGCCGCGUGAGUGAUGAAGGUUUUCGGAUCGUAAAGCUCUGUUGUUAGGGAAGAACAAGUACCGUUCAAAUAGGGCGGUACCUUGACGGUACCUAACCAGAAAGCCACGGUUAACUACGUGCCAGCAGCCGCGGUAAUACGUAGGUGGCAAGCGUUGUCCGGAAUUAUUGGGCGUAAAGGGCUCGCAGGCGGUUUCUUAAGUCUGAUGUGAAAGCCCCCGGCUCAACCGGGGAGGGUCAUUGGAAACUGGGGAACUUGAGUGCAGAAGAGGAGAGUGGAAUUCCACGUGUAGCGGUGAAAUGCGUAGAGAUGUGGAGGAACACCAGUGGCGAAGGCGACUCUCUGGUCUGUAACUGACGCUGAGGAGCGAAAGCGUGGGGAGCGAACAGGAUUAGAUACCCUGGUAGUCCACGCCGUAAACGAUGAGUGCUAAGUGUUAGGGGGUUUCCGCCCCUUAGUGCUGCAGCUAACGCAUUAAGCACUCCGCCUGGGGAGUACGGUCGCAAGACUGAAACUCAAAGGAAUUGACGGGGGCCCGCACAAGCGGUGGAGCAUGUGGUUUAAUUCGAAGCAACGCGAAGAACCUUACCAGGUCUUGACAUCCUCUGACAAUCCUAAAAAAUAGGACGUCCCCUUCGGGGGCAAAAUGACAGGGGGGGGCAUGG
rnacentral:rRNA from 1 species